GACUGUUCCGGAGGUCUAAUGGUUAGAGCGUCCGCCUCGGAUGCCGGAGGUCGAGGGUUCAAACCCCGGCCGAGUCA